CAGUACACAUAGUUAACUUAACCUAUGGAUGGGAUAACCUCGGGAAACUGAAAUAAUACCCAAUGGGCCACAGUGCCUGGAAUGGCUGUGGUUGAAAUGAUUAUCGCGUAGGAUAGGACUGCGGCCUAUCAGCUUGUUGGUGAGGUAAUGGCCACCAAGGCUAUAACAGGUACGGGCUCUGAGAGGAGGGGCCCGGCAGAUGGGUACUGAGACACGGACCCAGACCCUAUGGGGCGCAGCAGGCGAGAAACCUUUGCAAUGUGCGAAAGCA
rnacentral:rRNA from 1 species